UGUUGAUGUCCUGCAGUAGCUAGCUUGUGUUGAUGUCCUGCAGUAGCUAGCUUGUGUUGAUGUCCUGCAGUAGCUAGCUGGCUAACUUGGUCUGUUUGUGUUGAUGUCCUGCAGUAGCUAGCUUGUGUUGAUGUCCUGCAGUAGUUAGCUUGUGUUGAUGUCCUGCAGUAGCUAGCUUGUGUUGAUGUCCUGCAGUAGCUAGCUGGCUAACUUGGUCUGUUUGUGUUGAUGUCCUGCAGUAGCUAGCUGGCUAACUUGGUCUGUUUGUGUUGAUGUCCUGCAGUAGCUAGCUUGUGUUGAUGUCCUGCAGUAGCUAGCUGGCUAACUUGGUCUGUUUGUGUUGAUGUCCUGCAGUAGCUAGCUUGUGUUGAUGUCCUGCAGUAGCUAGCUUGUGUUGAUUUCCUGCAGUAGCUAGCUGGCUAAUUUGGUCUGUUUGUGUUGAUUUCCUGCAGUAGCUAGCUUGUGUUGAUGUCCUGCAGUAGCUAGCUGGCUAACUUGGUCUGUUUGUGUUGAUGUCCUGCAGUAGCUAGCUGGCUAACUUGGUCUGUUUGUGUUGAUUUCCUGCAGUAGCUAGCUUGUGUUGAUGUCCUGCAGUAGCUAGCUUGUGUUGAUGUCCUGCAGUAGCUAGCUGGCUAACUUGGUCUGUUUGUGUUGAUGUCCUGCAGUAGCUAGCUUGUGUUGAUGUCCUGCAGUAGCUAGCUGGCUAACUUGGUCUGUUUGUGUUGAUUUCCUGCAGUAGCUAGCUGGCUAACUUGGUCUGUUUGUGUUGAUGUCCUGCAGUAGCUAGCUUGUGUUGAUGUCCUGCAGUAGCUAGCUGGCUAACUUGGUCUGUUUGUGUUGAUGUCCUGCAGUAGUUAGCUGGCUAACUUGCCCCUUUCCUAAGCCAUGGAUGCAGACUUAGUUUUGACUUAAUUCUCUGUACAGCUACAGCGACUGACCGCUGAAGCGCUUAGGGGGCUGGGACCAGCCUCUGCGACAACAAUCAACGAUGGGCUGGGUGAGUCUAAACCACGCCCAGUCUCUACUCUGACAGGCCGGCUCGGAAGCAGGAACUUUUUCUGUCAGAGUAUAUUUAUAAUAUAUUUGUCAAGAACAAGUUAGUUCUCUGUUUGCCCUGCGAGGUGGGACAGAGAGCCCGUAUAUACGAAAAUUGCAUUUACCAAUUAUUGCUUAACUAAUAAAAAAUAGCAUAGCAUACAAUCGGUGACUCAUUGUCAUAUUUAUCCUGAUACCAGAUUCGAAUUGACGCAACUCUAACACAGGUCAAU
ensembl:lncRNA